GACUUCGGGGUGUAACGGUAGCACACUCGACGCGUAGACGAGAGGCCCAGGUUCGAGUCCCGGUGAGGACA
rnacentral:tRNA from 1 species